CAGCCGCCACGGUAAUACGAAGGGGGCUAGCGUUGCUCGGAAUGACUGGGCGUAAAGGGCGCGUAGGCGGUUUUGACAGUCAGAUGUGAAAUUCCCGGGCUUAACCUGGGGGCUGCCUUUGAGACGUCAAGACUAGAGUGUGAGGGAGGGUUGUGGAAUUCCCAGUGUAGAGGUGAAAUUCGUAGAUAUUGGGAAGAACACCGGUGGCGAAGGCGGCAACCUGGCUCAUUACUGACGCUGAGGCGCGAAAGCGUGGGGAGCAAACAGGAUUAGAUACCCCCGUAGUCCCUGUCUCUUAUAC
rnacentral:rRNA from 1 species